rnacentral:rRNA from 1 species
UCUGGAAACAGAUGCUAAUACCGUAUAACAGAGAAAACCGCCUGGUUUUCUUUUAAAAGAUGGCUCUGCUAUCACUUCUGGAUGGACCCGCGGCGCAUUAGCUAGUUGGUGAGGUAACGGCUCACCAAGGCGAUGAUGCGUAGCCGACCUGAGAGGGUAAUCGGCCACAUUGGGACUGAGACACGGCCCAGACUCCUACGGGAGGCAGCAGUAGGGAAUCUUCCACAAUGGACGCAAGUCUGAUGGAGCAACGCCGCGUGAGUGAAGAAGGGUUUCGGCUCGUAAAGCUCUGUUGUUAAAGAAGAACGUGGGGGGGGAGUGACAAAAAAAACCAGUGACGGUAUUUAACCAGAAAGCCACGGCUAACUACGUGCCAGCAGCCGCGGUAAUACGUAGGUGGCAAGCGUUAUCCGGAUUUAUUGGGCGUAAAGCGAGCGCAGGCGGUCUUUUAAGUCUAAUGUGAAAGCCUUCGGCUCAACCGAAGAAGUGCAUUGGAAACUGGGAGACUUGAGUGCAGAAGAGGACAGUGGAACUCCAUGUGUAGCGGUGAAAUGCGUAGAUAUAUGGAAGAACACCAGUGGCGAAAGCGGCUGUCUGGUCUGUAACUGACGCUGAGCUCGAAAGCAUGGGUAGCGAACAGGAUUAAUACCCUGGUAGUCCAUGCCGUAAACGAUGAUUACUAAGUGUUGGAGGGUUUCGGCCCUUUCAGUGCUGCAGCUAACGCAUUAAGUAAUCCGCCUGGGGAGUACGACCGCCAGGGUUGAAACUCCAAAAGAAUUGACGGGGGGCCCGGCACAAGCGGUGGAAGCAUGUGUUUAAAUUCGAAGCUACGCGAAGAACCUUACCAGGGUCUUGACAUCUUCUUGCCAACUAAAAGAAUAAAGCGUUUCCCUUCGGGGGACAGAAAUGAACAAGGUG